CCUGGUGAAAUUAGCGCUGUGGAACCACCCGAUCCCAUCCCGAACUCGGAAGUGAAACGCAGCUGCGCCGAU
rnacentral:rRNA from 1 species